AAUAACCAAAGCUCCAAGGAUCCAGGUAGGCAAUCCAUCUCAGCAAAUCACUUGUUGCUUUUGCUGUUUACUGAUUCCUGAUUUGAAUAUCGAAGGGUCUUUGUCGAAGCGAAAACCUCCAGUCCAUAUUUUAUUUUGCAGGUCACUCCAGCACCCCUGCUCAAAACUCAAUCGCUUACCUUCCAACUUCAGCAAAAAUCAGCAGCAAUAAAUAGAGGAAGGGCACAAUCUUCGCAUCAUACCACCAA
rnacentral:lncRNA from 1 species